ensembl:snoRNA
CAACACAGUGAGACUCUAUCUCAACAAAAAAGAAAAAAAAAACCCUUGACUUUGACCUUGUGCUAAAGCAAUGGCUAUUCUUUUCCUCUGCAUUGAAAGGAGUAUUUAUCCUUUUAAAUUUAUUCAGAAAGCCAGCACAUUG